rnacentral:lncRNA from 1 species
AACAAACACGUAGAAGUAGGUAUAGUAUCUGCAGAUGGAUCGGGUAGGCCUGUGAGUUGAUAAAAGGAAAAGGGUUUGUGUAUCAAAAGGACAAACUAGACUGAAAAACUAAAUGAUUAGAAGACACGUGUCAGUUGGUGACUGGACCUAACUGUACAUGGCAAAAGAACAACGACGUCGUUGCAGCUGUUGUUAAGUCAGGUUCAGGCGCCAGUGACUAGCUACUACUACCCUCUCAUUGCGUGGAAGAAAACUCG